rnacentral:misc_RNA from 1 species
GAUGAAGAACGUAGCGAAAUGCGAUAAGUAAUGUGAAUUGCAGAAUUCAGUGAAUCAUCGAAUCUUUGAACGCACAUUGCGCCCGCCAGUAUUCUGGCGGGCAUGCCUGUUCGACCGUCAUUUCAACCCUCAAGCCCCCGGGCUUGGUGUUGGGGAUCGGCGUGCCCUCGCGGCGCGCCGUCCCCUAAAUCUAGUGGCGGUCUCGCUGUAGCUUCCUCUGCGUAGUAGCAACACUCGCACUGGAUCGCAGCGCGGCCACGCCGUUAAACCCCCCACUUCUGAAAGUUUGACCUCGGAUCAGGUAGGAAUACCCGCUGAACUUAAGCAUAUCAAUAAGCGGAGGA